AUGCAACGCUGGGCGAUGGUUCUGCUGUCCUAGGUGAAGAGGUGGACGGUACUACAAGCGAGGUGCCAUUGGCUGUUGAGGGCACCACCAUUCAAAAAAACAAAAACGCAAGGAGGGCCUGAGACCGAAGAGGUCAGGUGUUGUUGAGUGCUCGCCCUUUUGGACCUUAUCCUUUUGUUUGUGGAUGCGUGAAGAAAUGAUGAAAAUGCUUGAUGAAUCAGCCACAAGAGGAGGAUGAAGCGCUUUUGGUUUAUCGCUGGGCUUUCUAAGUUGGUGCAAAUUUGCAUUGCCCUUAUUGUACAUUAUGUCUGCUCUACCUCAACCAUAUCAGGCAGUA